UUGCGUCACGAUCGCAUCAAAGUUUAGUUGCUUUUGAGCUUACCAUCAGAACGAUACUAAGAAAAUACUCUUCAGAUAUCACACAAUCUAAGAUUUGAUUUUUGGCUCCAACACAUGGAAAACCAAACUCUAAGGCACACUAACAACACUUGCUAAAAAUCUCACCACCCUUCUUGCAACUUUUGCCACUCAAAUUUUUUUUUUUCAAAUUUUUUUUUAUAUUUACCAUAUCCUUCCUCUCUGGUUUCAACUAAAAAUCAUAGCAAUCAGCCAUUUGAGGUGUCCCUUAUAAAUAGGGGACCAAGGGAUGUCAUAUGGGAUGAAGGGGCACCAACCUUUGGCGCUUCAACUUCCCACACGGUGAAUAAAUUCAUCGAGUAAAUUUUUGGCAUUCUAGAUACUUGCAGCAAAAGGACUUCUGCAUGUCAUAAAAAAUUCAAUAAAUUUUGGUGACAACACAUAAGAGAUCUGGUUAGAAAAUAUGACAAUACGUAAAAAUUAAGAGCCUUUAUUAAGGACUCUUCAUUUCACACACCAAAAAUAAGGGGGCAGCAUUUAUAUUUUGCCAUGACUUCUGGUGGGCGCAGAGUCCUUCUCCACUUGAAACUAUUUUAAGUUGGAUAAGGAUCUAAUCCAAAUUGACCCAAUCCCAUUAGGUCAAAGGCAACUGGUCUAGGUUAUCUCAAACACUUUGAACUAAACCAAUUUGAAAACUUGAGUUAAUACAAUAUGCUAGCAUAUCAAAUUAACCCAUAAAAUUUACAUCAAACUCUAAUUAGAUCAUAUAAAAGCCAAAUUCUAAAUUGUGUGAUCCAUUGGGUUCCAAAUCUAGCC
rnacentral:lncRNA from 1 species